AUGAAUUUGAACAACAUCCCCCCCUCUCUCUCCUUUACUCUUCCUCUCUAUCUCCCCCCUCUCUCUCAUUUACUUUUCCUCUCUUUCUCCCCCUCUCUCUCCUUUACUCUUCCUCUCUCUCCUUUACUCUUCCUCUCUUUCUCCCCCCUCUCUCUCCUUUACUCUUCCUCUCUUUCUCCCCCCUCUCUCUCCUUUACUCUUCCUCUCUUUCUCCCCCCUCUCUCUCAUUUACUCUUCCUCUCUUUCUCCCCCCUCUCUCUCCUUUACUCUUCCUCUCUUUCUCCCCCCUCUCUCUCCUUUACUCAUCCUCUCUUUCUCCCCUCUCUCUCCUUUACUCUUCCUCUCUUUCUCCCCUCUCUCUCUCCUUUACUCUUCCUCUCUUUCUCCCCCUCUCUCUCCUUUACUCUUCCUCUCUUUCUCCCCUCUCUCUCCUUUACUCUUCCUCUCUUUCUCCCCUCUCUCUCUCCUUUACUCUUCCUCUCUUUCUCCCCUCUCUCUCCUUUACUCUUCCUCUCUUUCUCCCCUCUCUCUCUCCUUUACUCUUCCUCUCUUUCUCCCCCUCUCUCUCCUUUACUCUUCCUCUCUUUCUCCCCUCUCUCUCCUUUACUCUUCCUCUCUUUCUCCCCCUCUCUCUCCUUUACUCUUCCUCUCUCUCUCCUUUACUCUUCCUCUCUUUCUCCUUUACUCUUCCUCUCUUUCUCCCCCCUCUCUCUCCUUUACUCUUCCUCUCUCUCCUUUACUCUUCCUCUCUUUCUCCCCUCUCUCUCUCCUUUACGCUUCCUCUCUUUCUCCCCCCUCUCUCUCCUUUACUCUUCCUCUCUCUCCUUUACUCUUCCUCUCUUUCUCCCCUCUCUCUCUCCUUUACUCUUCCUCUCUUUCUCCCCCUCUCUUUCCUUUACUCUUCCUCUCUUCCUCCCCCUCUCUCUCCUUUACUCUUCCUCUCUUUCUCCCCCCUCUCUCUCCUUUACUCUUCCUCUCUUUCUCCGCUCUCUCUCCUUUACUCUUCCUCUCUUUCUCCCCCCUCUCUCUCAUUUACUCUUCCUCUAUUUCUCAACCCUCUCUCUCCUUUACUCUUCCUCUCUUCCUCCCCCUCUCUCUCCUUUACUCUUCCUCUCUUUCUCCCCCCUCUCUCUCCUUUACUCUUCCUCUCUUUCUCCCCUCUCUCUCCUUUACUCUUCCUCUCUUUCUCCCCCCUCUCUCUCAUUUACUCUUCCUCUCUUUCUCCCCCCUCUCUCUCCUUUACUCUUCCUCUCUUUCUCCUCCCUCUCUCUCCUUUACUCUUCCUCUCUUUCUCCCUCUCUCUCUCCUUUACUCUUCCUCUCUUUCUCCCCCCUCUCUCUCCUUUACUCUUCCUCUCUUUCUCCCCCCUCUCUCUCCUUUACUCUUCCUCUCUUUCUCCCCCUCUCUCUCCUUUACUCUUCCUCUCUUUCUCCCCCCUCUCUCUCCUUUACUCUUCCUCUCUUUCUCCCCUCUCUCUCUCCUUUACUCUUCCUCUCUUUCUCCCCCCUCUCUCUCCUUUACUCUUCCUCUCUUUCUCCCCCCUCUCUCUCAUUUACUCUUCCUCUCUUUCUCCCCCCUCUCUCUCCUUUACUCUUCCUCUCUUUCUCCCCCUCUCUCUCCUUUACUCUUCCUCUCUUUCUCCUCCCUCUCUCUCCUUUACUCUUCCUCUCUUUCUCCCCCUCUCUCUCCUUUACUCUCCCUCUCUUUCUCCCCCUGUCUCUCCUUUACUCUUCCUCUCUUUCUCCCCCUCUCUCUCAUUUACUCUUCCUCUCUUUCUCCCCCUCUCUCUCCUUUACUCUUCCUCUCUUUCUCCCCCCUCUCUCUCCUUUACUCUUCCUCUCUUUCUCCCUCUCUCUCUCCUUUACUCUUCCUCUCUUUCUCCCCCCUCUCUCUCAUUUACUCUUCCUCUCUUUCUCCCCCCCUCUCUCUCCUUUACUCUUCCUCUCUUUCUCACCCUCUCUCUCCUUUACUCUUCCUCUCUUUCUCCCCCCUCUCUCUCCUUUACUCUUCCUCUCUUUCUCCCCCCUCUCUCUCCUUUACUCUUCCUCUCUUUCUCCCCCUCUCUCUCCUUUACUCUUCCUCUCUUUCUCCCCUCUCUCUCUCCUCUACUCUUCCUCUCUUUCUCCCCUCUCUCUCCUUUACUCUUCCUCUCUUUCACCCUCUCUCUCUCCUUUACUCUUCCUCUCUGUCUCCCCUCUCUUUCUCCUUUAUUCUUCCUCUCUUUCUCCCCCUCUCUCUCCUUUACUCUUCCUCUCUUUCUCCCCCCUCUCUCUCCUUUACUCUUCCUCUCUCUCCUUUACUCUUCCUCUCUUUCUCCCCUCUCUCUCUCCUUUACGCUUCCUCUCUGUCUCCCCUCUCUUUCUCCUUUAUUCUUCCUCUCUUUCUCCCCCUCUCUCUCCUUUACUCUUCCUCUCUUUCUCCCCCCUCUCUCUCCUUUACUCUUCCUCUCUUUCUCCCCCCUCUCUCUCCUUUACUCUUCCUCUCUUUCUCCCCCCUCUCUCUCCUUUAUUCUUCCUCUCUUUCUCCCCCUCUCUCUCCUUUACUCUUCCUCUCUCUCUCAUUUACUCUUCCUCUCUUUCUCCCCUCUCUCUCCUUUACUCUUCCUCUCUUUCUCCCCCUCUCUCUCCUUUACUCUUCCUCUCUUUCUCCCCCCUCUCUCUCCUUUACUCUUCCUCUCUUUCUCCCCCUCUCUCUCCUUUACUCUUCCUCUCUUUCUCCCCCCUCUCUCUCCUUUACUCUUCCUCUCUUUCUCCCCCUCUCUCUCCUUUACUCUUCCUCUCUUUCUCCCCCCUCUCUCUCCUUUACUCUUCCUCUCUUUCUCCCCUCUCUCUCUCCUUUACUCUUCCUCUCUUUCUCCCCCCUCUCUCUCCUUUACUCUUCCUCUCUUUCUCCCCCCUCUCUCUCCUUUACUCUUCCUCUCUUUCUCCCCUCUCUCUCUCCUUUACUCUUCCUCUCUUUCUCCCCUCUCUCUCUCCUUUACUCUUCCUCUCUUUCUCCCCCUCUCUCUCCUUUACUCUUCCUCUCUUUCCUUUACUCUUCCUCUCUUUCUCCCUCUCUCUCUCCUUUCCUCUUCCUCUCUUUCUCCCCCCUCUCUCUCCUUUACUCUUCCUCUCUCUCUCCUUUACUCUUCCUCUCUUUCUCCCCCUCUCUCUCCUUUACUCUUCCUCUCUUUCUCCCCCCCUCUCUCUCCUUUACUCUUCCUCUCUUUCUCCCCCUCUCUCUCCUUUACUCUCCCUCUCUCUCCUUUACUCUUCCUCUCUUUCUCCCCCUCUCGCUCCUUUACUCUCCCUCUCUCUCCUUUACUCUUCCUCUCUUUCUCCCCUCUCUCUCUCCUUUACUCUUCCUCUCUUUCUCCCCCUCUCUCUCCUUUACUCUUCCUCUCUUUCUCCCCCUCUCUCUCCUUUACUCUUCCUCUCUUUCUCCCCUCUCUCUCUCCUUUACUCUUCCUCUCUUUCUCCCCUCUCUCUCUCCUUUACUCUUCCUCUCUUUCUCCCCCUCUCUCUCCUUUACUCUUCCUCUCUUUCUCCCCCCUCUCUCUCCUUUACUCUUCCUCUCUUUCUCCCCUCUCUCUCUCCUUUACUCUUCCUCUCUUUCUCCCCUCUCUCUCUCCUUUACUCUUCCUCUCUUUCUCCCCUCUCUCUCUCCUUUACUCUUCCUCUCUUUCUCCCCCCUCUCUCUCCUUUACUCUUCCUCUCUUUCUCCCCUCUCUCUCUCCUUUACUCUUCCUCUCUUUCUCCCCUCUCUCUCUCCUUUACUCUUCCUCUCUUUCUCCCCUCUCUCUCUCCUUUACUCUUCCUCUCUUUCUCCCCUCUCUCUCUCCUUUACUCUUCCUCUCUUUCUCCCCCUCUCUCUCCUUUACUCUUCCUCUCUUUCUCCCCUCUCUCUCUCCUUUACUCUUCCUCUCUUUCUCCCCCUCUCUCUCCUUUACUCUUCCUCUCUUUCUCCCCCUCUCUCUCCUUUACUCUUCCUCUCUUUCUCCCCUCUCUCUCUCCUUUACUCUUCCUCUCUUUCUCCCCUCUCUCUCUCCUUUACUCUUCCUCUCUUUCUCCCCCUCUCUCUCCUUUACUCUUCCUCUCUUUCUCCCCCUCUCUCUCCUUUACUCUUCCUCUCUUUCUCCCCUCUCUCUCUCCUUUUAUUCUUCCUAUCUCUCUCAUUUACUCUUUACUCUCUGUGUAG
rnacentral:lncRNA from 1 species